rnacentral:rRNA from 1 species
GGUGCUUACCAUGCAGUCGACGGAAGGCCCUGCUUUUGUGGGGUGCUCGAGUGGCGAACGGGUGAGUAACACGUGAGUAACCUGCCCUUGACUUUGGGAUAACUUCAGGAAACUGGGGCUAAUACCGGAUAGGAGCUCCUGCUGCAUGGUGGGGGUUGGAAAGUUUCGGCGGUUGGGGAUGGACUCGCGGCUUAUCAGCUUGUUGGUGGGGUAGUGGCUUACCAAGGCUUUGACGGGUAGCCGGCCUGAGAGGGUGACCGGCCACAUUGGGACUGAGAUACGGCCCAGACUCCUACGGGAGGCAGCAGUGGGGAAUAUUGCACAAUGGGCGGAAGCCUGAUGCAGCAACGCCGCGUGCGGGAUGACGGCCUUCGGGUUGUAAACCGCUUUCGCCUGUGACGAAGCGUGAGUGACGGUAAUGGGUAAAGAAGCACCGGCUAACUACGUGCCAGCGCCCCCGGGUUAAUAAAGUGGCAAUGCGGUAUUA